UGGGAAGAGCUUAUCAACGAUAAAUACAAGCAUUUACAUUGGUGUGGCUGGGAACUGGCCUUUGAACAGAGCAGGCCUUAAGGAAAGUGACAUUUUAGGAAGAUGAAGUUGCAGGUGGUAGGCAGGACUGAUUUCUUGCAAAAGAGAUCAGUGACCCAAGAUUGAGGUGGUAAGGGCACCAGGCCAGGGAGACAGCAAUUGGAGUGGGGAUGAAAUAGCAUGCUUCAUGGCCUCACAGAAUCUUGGAGAAAGAAGGAAGCUUAAAUGUCAUCCAGUUCAAACAGCACCUCUAUCAAUGCGCAGAUCGCUUCCUCAAUCUACUAUUUUCUUGAAGAAUUUUGGGGCCACGAAAGUCAUCACUCGUGUGCCUUGGUCUACCUAUGAGAGAGCUCAUCUUUGUCAGGAGUGAAAAGCCAAAACUUUGCCCAGCGACUUUCAUUUUUAUAGAUCAGGUCAAAUUUCUAUUCUUUUCUUUUCUUUUUUUUUUUUUUAACCUGACAACCCUUUAGAGAUUUGAGGUCACCAACCAUGAAAUGCUGAAUCUUCUUGUUUCUAUGCUACCCAGCUCCAGGGCUGUGGUUUUUACAUGAUUGUUUCCGGCCAAUGAAUACACAAUUGGAUGAUCUGAAAAUUUUCGUUGUGAGUUUAUAGACAUAUUGACACUGUUUAUUUAGUCUUUUUUUGAAAUUAAGUUUAGAAAGCCUACAACAUAUAAGGUUAAACAUUUGUUAUCUCCUUUGAACAUACGAUGGCCAAUAGUGUUUUUUUUUUUAGAAAUCUUGUUUCUGAGUAUUUAUUUACACAAUCAAAGUUUGAAGACUUUAAAGAAGGAUAGAUUUGUGGCUUCUGAAAAUGAGCUUAGAAUUUUUAUGAAGUGUAACUUGACUGUGGAAGUCAGAGAAGGAGCCACAGUGACCUUUGGGAGGCAGUGCAAAUGGAGCAGCAAAGAUGGACAAAGGACAUUGAGAAAUGAGGAGAAUCAUUGGAAUUAGGAAGAAAAACUGAACAUUUAGAUGUGCAAGAUGCAAAAUAAUCAGCAGUAGUUAUGAGGAAGGGCAUAAAAUAGGACAUGUGCUUCAGCUGUGAGCACUGAAAUACAAGAUAUUGGGAACAGGGGUUAAAACACAUGAGACAAAUACUCUAAAAGCUGCAUGAUGGAGAAGCUUCAUUUCAAUAUCUGUCCAAAAUGCUUUCUCUAUUGUAAAAAGCGCUCACACGAUUUGCACACAGCCAAAACCUGCAAAGAACAUAUGCAAUUCCACGCUAAGCAGUAUGAACACAUAUUGGGGACAUAUCUGAUCCUCAGACUCACUAAGAGUUUUCUCUGAGAAUAAAAAAGGAUUGCUAAUCGUAUUUAAAUGACAUGUAAGAAUGAAUAAAUAAAUGUAUUAUUAUUUUAAAAAUAACUAUUAGGAUUUUCUUAGCAGUGUAUCUUGCACUGGAUCCAGCCAGCAUUAAGUAAGUAUCAAAGACCAACAGUUGUUAGGAUGCUUUUAAGAUCCAUUUAUUAGUAGUAGUAUUUUAAAUCCCUUUGUAUGAGCACAUACAUCAAUAUGUUAUUGUCAUAAAAGUUUCAUCUCCAUAGCUCAGUAUCUAUUAAUACCAUUUAGGGCCAAGUGCCAGUCAGAUUCUAGGAAUUCCACUCCAAAGAAGAAAUCAAAAUGAAUGAAAACCUCCAAUCUAUAUUUCCCAUUUAGGAAGAAAAACUUUCUUGAAUUUCACUUGAAAAUUUAUGAGAAGUUUGGGACUGAGUAAAUGGUGGAAGGAGUGGAAUUUUGAAUUUACUGCCUAAAUAUCUUGCCCUCUGCUUAGUAAGGUUGGGGCUGCCAAGUAGCUCACUAUAAGAGAGUGAAUAAUCCAGGUUCUUGGUGGAACUAGGCCAUAUAUUAAAUUUGGAAACUAGUCCAAUGAAGUCCCUUCCAGGGCAACUCAAUUAAUCCUUCCUUAAUGAUCAGAACAUUGAAACUUUUGCAUGCAGACCAAUCUCCAAAAUGAAUCAAUUAAACUCAGAAGCUUCUCACAACAGCAAAGUAGGCAGGAUUUAGAGCACAGGACAGUACAAAAGCAAAACCACAUCAUUGUGUGGUGCUAUCUUACUGCGUCAAGACCUAGCUAGGACUCUAUGGCCACAGGCAGUCUGUACACAAGUUGAAGCAAUUAAGGAAGGCAUGGGCUCCCUGUGCGAGAGGGAGGAACUCAACCCCUGCCCCUUGCUAAGAACUCUGAGGCAAAGUGCAGAGAAUCUCUCCAGCUAUUCAGUGUUCUUAAUGGCUCAUUAAGCUUAGAUUUACUGGCUGUCCUUACAAGUCCACUGGACAGUUGUCUAGUCACUGAGAUUUUUCCAAAUGUUGAAUUAUAUCUGAUGAUUGUUGAAGUCACAUUUAGGGUGGGUGUGGGAUUGGUGGCAGAGCUGGGAGACUGCCUAGCUGUAUCAUACAGAGAUAUAUCCAGUUUCAAAGAACAGAACACCCUCCUGUAUUCAUUUGGUAGGGGGGCCAAGUACCACAAACUGAGUGGCUUAAACAACAGAAAUUUAUCGUCUCUCAGUUCUAGAGGCAAGAAGUCUGAGAUCAAGGUGUCAGCAGGGCUGGUUUCCUCUGAGGGCUGUGCGGGAAGGAUCUGUUCCAGGCCUCUCUGACUUGUAUGUGGCUGCCUUCUCCCGCCUUCACUUUGUCUUCUUUGUGGUCAAAGGAUGGCUGCCACAACCCCAGACCUCUUGUCUAUAGUCCAAGCAUGAAGAAGGAGGGAAAAGUUUAGUGAAAUGACAAGGAUGGCCAGUAAAGAGGCACUUUGCUGGCCAAGAACCCCAUGUGGGGCUGUGACAGGCAGAAGGAUGGCUCCUUGAAGAUACUCAUGUCCUAAUUCCCAGAACAUGUGAAUAUGCUACUUCAACAGCAAAAGGGACGUUGCAGAUGUAAAUUACGGACCUCGAGACCGGGAGAUUAUUCUGGAUUGUCUGGUGGACCCACUGUAAUCACAAGGUUCAUAUAAGGGAAAUAGGGAAGCAGGAGAGUCGGAGAAGGAGAUGGGAUGAUGGAGGCAGAGGUUGGAGUGAUGCAAUUGCUAGCUUUGAAGGUAGAGGAAGAGACCUUAAGCCAAGGAAUGUGGGUGGCUUCUAGAAGCUAAAAAAAGGCAAACAAACAAACAAACAACAACCCUGCAAC